AGAAGAAGAAGUUGUUUAUACCCCGCCCAUCUGGCUGGGUUUCCCCAGCCACUCUGGGUGGCUCCCAACAGAAUAUUAAAAACACGACAAAACAUUAAACAAUUCCCUAAACAGGGCUGCCUUCAGAUGUCUUCUAAAAGUCAGAUCUUCCAACAUACAGCUUCAGUGGACGGCCACACAUUCCAGUGAAAAGAGAGGAGGAGGAGGAGAGGAGGAGGAGAAAGAAGCCAAUUGACAAUUACUGUUCCCAAAUUCUAAAUGAGUGCCGUUUAGAAUGUUAUACACUAAACUCUGUCAAGUACUGUGA